GCUAAUACCGCAUACGCCCUACGGGGGAAAGCAGGGGAUCUUCGGACCUUGCGCUAAUAGAUGAGCCUAAGUCGGAUUAGCUAGUUGGUGGGGUAAAGGCCUACCAAGGCGACGAUCUGUAGCGGGUCUGAGAGGAUGAUCCGCCACACUGGGACUGAGACACGGCCCAGACUCCUACGGGAGGCAGCAGUGGGGAAUAUUGGACAAUGGGCGGAAGCCUGAUCCAGCCAUGCCGCGUGUGUGAAGAAGGCCUUUUGGUUGUAAAGCACUUUAAGCGAGGAGGAGGCUCCUUUAGUUAAUACCUAAAGAGAGUGGACGUUACUCGCAGAAUAAGCACCGGCUAACUCUGUGCCAGCAGCCGCGGUAAUACAGAGGGUGCGAGCGUUAAUCGGAUUUACUGGGCGUAAAGCGUGCGUAGGCGGCUUUUUAAGUCGGAUGUGAAAUCCCUGAGCUUAACUUAGGAAUUGCAUUCGAUACUGGGAAGCUAGAGUAUGGGAGAGGAUGGUAGAAUUCCAGGUGUAGCGGUGAAAUGCGUAGAGAUCUGGAGGAAUACCGAUGGCGAAGGCAGCCAUCUGGCCUAAUACUGACGCUGAGGUACGAAAGCAUGGGGAGCAAACAGGAUUAGAUACCCUGGUAGUCCAUGCCGUAAACGAUGUCUACUAGCCGUUGGGGCCUUUGAGGCUUUAGUGGCGCAGCUAACGCGAUAAGUAG
rnacentral:rRNA from 1 species